UUGUGUACUGUAGAUACUAGUUUAUUGGUUUUCUAUAGUUGCUUCGUUUGUUUCAGCGCAGAACGAACUUCUUUGAACAAAAUGGAUGGAUGUAGUGCCAUCACUGGUUGAAGCACGUUAAGAUGUUAAUCAUGAAGGUUGUUAUUGAAUGAUAGUCUAUUUAUCCCGGGAUGCUCGCGCUGCGGAUCCACACAGAACUUCUGAUCGACACUACAAUACACAAACGUAAGUAUUUUAUUUGUAUUAUGAAAAUAAACACGGUCCUUGUGAAUUUGUGUUCACAUAUACGUCAAAAAUUUAUGGAUCAAAUGUGAUUCAUUUUACGUUCGACUUAGCAUAAUUACGCCUUAAACAAUAAGAGAGAUAAGUGACUUAAAUUGAGACUAUAAAUUGUCUACGGUAACUCUAAAAGUCCUAUAAUGUAUCAUCUUAGUAAGUACUACUUAUAAGAUUUACUUUUAUCUUCUUAGAGUAAAGGGUCAGCAAAAUUACUAUGUUCCUAUAAUUACGGCAAUUAAUGAAUGUAAAUUAAUUUCGAAUUAAUAAUUUCCAUCCUGGAUUAAAUUUGGCUUAAAUAAUUUAAAAUUAUCGUACACGCCAAAUGACACUAAAAUACUCUUUAUUAUUACGUAAAUAAGUACAUCUAGUCGAUUAUAAGUGACUACAUCACAUUUUUAGAAUUAAACUAUUAUUUGGUUUAUUUUGUAUUGUAUCUAAGAAAAAAAAACAAUAGUGAGGGGAAAGAAGUAGUGUCGAUAAAAGUUCUGUGUCCGAUAUCCGUUUGUUGUACACUGUCAGUUCUUUUAUAUACUAGGUAUGUAUAGAUCGCGCAUAUUUUGUAUAAAUGACUAUUAGUUUUAAACGCGUUCGAUCACUGAUAUAGCUCACUGCUCCACGCGUGUUUAUUAGUUAUUCACAAUGUAUAAAAGUAGAUAGAUAUAGAUUUUUUUUGUUUGCGGUAUUUGUCACUCGAAUAACUAAUAAAUACAAUUAAUUACGUGUUCAAUAUGUCUAUCUGUAAGAGUCGAAAUAAUCGUGUUGUUCAGUAUUCAUUGCAACCAAAUCAGUUAAGCCGAUUUUACUUUAAAAUAUAUUUUUGUUUACUUAUACAAGUACCGUGAGGAUCUAGUGCUAGUUUCUUUAUCGAUAAGAUCGAUAUUAACAACUUGUCAAAGAAUUUUGUUACAUUUCGUACCGCUAGAUGGCGUUAGUACACUGAGUAAAAUUAUUACCAUAGUAAAAUAUUAAAAUGAAAUAAUACCUACCAAUGCUGGCACUAGAUCCUCAUGUUAUGUUGUCAAAUAAUGGAAAAAUGAUUAUUUUAAUAAUUAUGUUUAUUUUUAUUAUUCUUAUCUACUUAUUUCUUCACUUGAGAGAUCUCCGACUUGAUAUUUUCACUGCCAUUGCGUAGUUGCGUUUGUAUGGGAUUACCUAAAAUAGUUUUAAUCGUGUUAACGGUAUUAUUUACUGUACGAAAUAUGUAUGGCUGGUGUCAAAUGAGAUAGUCAUUAGAUACUACAUAGUACAUACAUAAUAUCAGAUACAAAUGGAUGUUUUACUGUAAACCUAAAAUAAGUCUUAAAAUACGGUAAUAAUUUCGUUAAACGCUGUCGUUGGUAUUGUCCAAUUAUUUUACUAAUAGGCAAUAGCUAAUUUCCUAAGAAAUAUCUGUCAGUAUAUUCACACUUUCCAUUUCUUUACAACUCAUCUUCUCUACUCAAUCAAUUAUAUUCACAAUCUCUAUAAACACAUCAUUUUUACGCCAAAUGAUAUUUUUAUAUGGUAAAAAUAUGAAAAUACUGACAUAUUUUCAAAUAUUCAUCAUAAUAAUAUAAAUAAUAUAGUCCGUGUAAAUAAAUGUCUAUGUUGUUAUAAAAAUACUAGAAAAAGAUAUAUAGCGAAAUUGAUUUCGUAUUUGUGAAUAGGUGACCGCCUGGUUGGUAUAACCGUGGAGCAGUAUAUAGGUAUUUAUUUUUAAUACAUAAUAAUGAACCCUGUGAGAAAUAGUUUAUUUAUGUGUCUC